ensembl:lncRNA
ACUUGGCCGGCUAAGCAAGUACCCAUUCCAUCCUCCUGAAGAAGUCCAUUUGGUAGAAGGCAACCUUCUCCCAGAGGAGGAGCGGCGUUCAACCAAAGAUGCACAAGUCGCUGUGUUCCUCCGCUACGACUUCCGAACAAGAACUGGAGCGAGUCCUCCUCACCUGGCUUCAAGAGAUGAGGACUGAGUCCUCCUGACAUGCCCUUCUCCUAGAGCUAUCUAGAAAGAGUGCCAUGGGCCUGAUCUUGGGAGUCAAUGGAACCUAAUCCUCAAGACCUCCACUGGCUCUGUGGUCAACUUCUCUCAAAGCUCUCCAUGGGUCAGGGAGAGGAAGAACUCAGCCUGUGUGCUGCCUCUCCGGUCCAUAAACUGGUCCAUUCCCAUCAGACCUGUUACUCCAGCAGCAGUGCUUAAAGCCGCACCUGAUCCCUGAGUUAAGUGCUGUGGGUCUGGGCCAGCAUCUAUCAGGGCACCUAUCUAUCUCUUCAUGUUGCUGUAGGGAUAAUAACAUCCUUCCUCUCGCUGUCCUUGGAAGCACUAGAUAAGGAACUGCUCAUGGAGCCUCGCUGCCGGAAGCUCAGGGGGACACUUGAGCUCCCUAGCCCAAGUCCCUGCUUGUAAUACUCUCCCCAGCCUGGCUGGGAGAAGACAGAAGAGCACAGAUGUUAGACAGGCCUGACAUGUUUUUCUAUUUACCUCUGUGUGGAUGUGGGCGUGGGCCUGCGCAUGUUCAUGUGGAGAUGAGGGAGGGACAAAGACUGUGGUGUAAGACUACCCUCUAAUUCCCUUCACCUUAGUCAUUUGAGACGGGGUGUUGGCUGUCUUUAACAUAAGCUUGAGUCGUCUGGAAAAAAGAGGGCACCACUUGAGAAAAUGUUCCCACCAAGUUGCCUAUGGACAAGUCUGAGGUGCACUUUACUGACUAGGGAUUUAUGUGAGAGGCGCUCCCCAGGUGGUCCCAGGGGUGUGUAAUAAAGCAGGCUGAGCAAGCCUUGAAGAGCAAGCAAGAUGGCUUCCACAUCACUUCCUGCUUUCAGGUUUCUGCACUGAGUUCCUGCCCUGACUUCCCUGGAUGUGGACUACAAGGUGUAAGCGAAAAUAAAACCUUUCCCCUCCAAGUUUCGUUUGUUCACAGUGUUUUUUUUUCUUUUAGAUUUAUUUAGUUUACAUAUAUGAGUACUCUGUCUUCAUGC